AGCAUGUGGUUUAAUUCGAAGCAACGCGAAGAACCUUACCAGGUCUUGACAUCCCCUGACAACCCAAGAGAUCGGGCGUUCCCCGUUCGGGGGGCAGGGUGACAGGUGGUGCAUGGUUGUCGUCAGCUCGUGUCGUGAGAUGUUGGGUUAAGUCCCGCAACGAGCGCAACCCUCGACCUUAGUUGCCAGCAUUCAGUUGGGCACUCUAAGGUGACUGCGGCUAAAGUCGGAGGAAGGUGGGGAUGACGUCAAAUCAUCAUGCCCCUUAUGACCUGGGCUACACACGUGCUACAAUGGGCGGUACAAAGGGUCGCGAACCCGCGAGGGGGAGCCAAUCCCAAAAAGCCGCUCUCAGUUCGGAUUGCAGGCUGCAACUCGCCUGCAUGAAGCCGGAAUCGCUAGUAAUCGCGGAUCAGCAUGCCGCGGUGAAUACGUUCCCGGGCCUU
rnacentral:rRNA from 1 species